rnacentral:tRNA from 1 species
GGCGUUUACCGAUGCCGAGUACCAGAGCGAUGCGCUGACGUUUGUUGGCUGGGCCAACUUUAACAC